rnacentral:lncRNA from 1 species
AGACUAAAAAAUUAUUUUAUAAAAAAAAAAUAAUAAUAAAAUAAAUAAAUAAAAGAAUUUUUUUUCUUUUUCUUCCUCCUUUCUCCCCCGUCACUUUCCUCUCCUUUCUCACCUCCCUUCCUUUUCCACCACUGCUGCCACCUACCAGCCGCCGGAAAUUUCUUCUUUUUCUUCCCCUCCCUCGCCGACAUCACCUCCUUCUUCUUCCUUGUUGCCGAUGUUGAUCUUGAAGAAAGGAAGCUCUCUCGCUGCCUCCGUGCAAAUAGCCGCCUACCGCCCUCUUCUCGCAAAACCGAUGCUGAAAUCAAGCUCCCCGCAGUCAAAAACCCCCAAGCUAAGCUUCCCGCCAUUAUUCCUCCGCCGGCAGCCUUGGUGUUGUCUCACUGGAGCAGCGCUUUCCAGGAGCAGUCCGGCGUCCUGCGGUGAGGGUUGGCCGUGAUUUAAGUGUUUCUGGACUCCCCGUAACUCAAACUCGGCAUAGGCGCUUCCGGAUUCAAAAUCCGAUACCAUUGGCGGUACCAACUUUCGGACUCCAGUAUUUCCGGUAUUUCCUAGACGUGCAGUAAUUUCGAACGAAUUUUGGAUGAUACGAUAAAAUUAAAAGAAUUUAUACUUCAUUUAUCCAAAAAGAGUCAUUUUAC